rnacentral:sRNA from 1 species
GGCCCUCGCCCUCCCGGGCGUUUCCUCCCUAGACUUCGGGCCGCCUGAGCAAGGCGGCCUUUUUUCGUCCGGG